rnacentral:rRNA from 1 species
CCAAUAGCGUAUAUUAAAGUUGUUGCAGUUAAAAAGCUCGUAGUUGAAUUUCGGGAUUAGUACGUUGGUCGUGCCUUGGUACGUACUGGUGUAACUGAUUCCUCCCUUCUGACGAACCGUUAUGCCAUUAAUUUGGUGUGGCGGGAAAUCAGGACUGUUACUUUGAAAAAAUUAGAGUGUUUAAAGCAGGCUUGCGCUUGAAUACAUUAGCAUGGAAUAAUGAAAUAGGACGUUUGAUUCUAUUUUGUUGGUUUCUAGGAUCGACGUAAUGAUUAAUAGGGAUAGUUGGGGGCAUUAGUAUUCAAUUGUCAGAGGUGAAAUUCUUGGAUUUAUUGAAGACUAACUACUGCGAAAGCAUUUGCCAAGGAUGUUUUCAUUAAUCAAGAACGAAAGUUAGGGGAUCGAAGACGAUCAGAUACCGUCGUAGUCUUAACCAUAAACUAUGCCGACUAGGGAUCGGAUGAUGUUAAUUUUUUAAUGACUCAUUCGGCGCCUUACG